rnacentral:lncRNA from 1 species
CGCCACCUACAAAAACCAAAAACCAGAACAAUCACACAAACAAAUCUGUCGGUUUUAUUUUUUUUUCCUCAGAUUUGCCUCUCUUUUUCUCUACUAUAACUUAUAUUUUUAUGUUUUCAGAUUUACUCCUCUCUAUUAUCUGUAAAUGAGGGUUUUGUGGAUGGAGAGAGGCUAACGACGCUGCCACAGGUAGGGGUGAGCAAAAAAAUCAAAAAACCGAUUAAACCGAGAAAACUGGAAAAAAAUAACCGAAAAAACCAAACCGUGAAAAAAAAACCGAUUAAACCGAUUAGAAUUU